GAUGAAGAACGCAGCGAAAUGCGAUAAGUAAUGUGAAUUGCAGAAUUCAGUGAAUCAUCGAAUCUUUGAACGCACCUUGCGCCCUUUGGCUAUUCCGAAGGGCAUGCCUGUUUGAGUAUCGUGAACACCUCAACUCUCAUGGUCUGCCAUGAUGAGCUUGGACUUUGGGGGUCUUGCCGGCCUAGCGUCGGCUCCUCUCAAAUGGAUCAGCUUGCCAGUGUUUGGUGGCAUCACAGGUGUGAUAACUAUCUACGCUUGUGGUUUUCUACCAUGUAACCUUCAGCGAUGGAGGUUUGCUGGGGCUCACAGACGUCUCUCCUUGGAGGACAGCUUUUUGAACGUUUGAUCUCAAAUCAGGUAGGACUACCCGCUGAACUUAAGCAUAUCAAUAAGCGGAGGA
rnacentral:misc_RNA from 1 species